AACGAACGCUGGCGGUAUGCUUAACACAUGCAAGUCGAACGGACUUAUUAGAGCUUGCUUUAAUAAGUUAGUGGCAAACGGGUGAGUAACACGUGGGGAAUCUACCCAUCAGUACGGAAUAACAUUUGGAAACAAAUGCUAAUACCGUAUAUUCUCUACGGAGGAAAGAUUUAUCGCUGAUGGAUGAGCCCGCGUUAGAUUAGGUAGUUGGUAGGGUAAUGGCCUACCAAGCCGACGAUCUAUAGCUGGUCUGAGAGGAUGAUCAGCCACACUGGGACUGAGACACGGCCCAGACUCCUACGGGAGGCAGCAGUGGGGAAUAUUGGACAAUGGGCGAAAGCCUGAUCCAGCAAUGCCGCGUGAGUGAAGAAGGCCUUAGGGUUGUAAAGCUCUU
rnacentral:rRNA from 1 species